AUUGAACGCUGGCGGAAUGCUUUACACAUGCAAGUCGAACGGUAGAGGGGGCAACCCCUCGAGAGUGGCGAACGGGUGAGUAAUAUAUCGGAACGUGCCCAGUCGUGGGGGAUAACGUAGCGAAAGUUACGCUAAUACCGCAUACGAUCUAAGGAUGAAAGCGGGGGAUCGCAAGACCUCGCGCGAUUGGAGCGGCCGAUAUCAGACUAGGUAGUUGGUGGGGUAAAGGCUCACCAAGCCAACGAUCUGUAGCUGGUCUGAGAGGACGACCAGCCACACUGGAACUGAGACACGGUCCAGACUCCUACGGGGGCAGCAGUGGGGAAUUUUGGACAAUGGACGCAAGUCUGAUCCAGCCAUUCCGCGUGCAGGAUGAAGGCCCUCGGGUUGUAAACUGCUUUUGUACGGAACGAAAAGGUCUCUCUUAAUACGGGGGACUCAUGACGGUACCGUAAGAAUAAGCACCGGCUAACUACGUGCCAGCCGCCGCCGUAA
rnacentral:rRNA from 1 species